CGUCUCGUUCGCGCGCGUACGUAUGGAUGUGGCCCGCUUUUUGUUUUUGGCGAAUGCUUAGAAGCUUCAAGUUGCGGACACUGCGGUGGGCCAGGGCUUAAUGACAUUUGUUGCCCAGCUGCUGGUGAUACCGCGACGUACUUGGAGCAACGCUUCUGCUUAUUUCCUCUGCCUGCACCUUAUAUUUGUUGUGUUUAUCGAGACCUGGCCUGUCUCUGCCUCGUUGAAGACAAAUGGACACAAGUA
rnacentral:lncRNA from 1 species